rnacentral:rRNA from 1 species
AUUGAACGCUAGCGGAAUGCCUUACACACGCAAGUCGAACGGCAGCACGGACUUCGGUCUGGUGGCGAGUGGCGAACGGGCGAGUAAUGUAUCGGAACGUGCCCAGUAGCGGGGGAUAACUACGCGAAAGCGUAGCUAAUACCGCAUACGCCCUACGGGGGAAAGGGGGGGAUCGCAAGACCUCUCACUAUUGGAGCGGCCGAUAUCGGAUUAGCUAGUUGGUGGGGUAAAGGCUCACCAAGGCGACGAUCCGUAGCUGGUUUGAGAGGACGACCAGCCACACUGGGACUGAGACACGGCCCAGACUCCUACGGGAGGCAGCAGUGGGGAAUUUUGGACAAUGGGGGAAACCCUGAUCCAGCCAUUCCGCGUGUGUGAAGAAGGCCUUCGGGUUGUAAAGCACUUUUGGCAGGAAAGAAACGGCCCUGGAUAAUACCCGGGGUAACUGACGGUACCUGCAGAAUAAGCACCGGCUAACUACGUGCCAGCCGCCGCAGUAAGAC